GUUGAAACACUGGUUCCUGUACAAUCACUAAUGUUAAGCAACAUCAGUCCUGGUCAGUACCUAGAUGGGUGACCACUUAGGAAUACCAGGUGCUGUAA
rnacentral:rRNA from 1 species